rnacentral:rRNA from 1 species
GACGAACGCCGUCGGCGUGCUUAACACAUGCAAGUCGAACGGAAAGGCCCUGCUUUUGUGGGGUGCUCGAGUGGCGAACGGGUGAGUAACACGUGAGUAACCUGCCCUUGACUUUGGGAUAACUUCAGGAAACUGGGGCUAAUACCGGAUAGGAGCUCCUGCUGCAUGGUGGGGGUUGGAAAGUUUCGGCGGUUGGGGAUGGACUCGCGGCUUAUCAGCUUGUUGGUGGGGUAGUGGCUUACCAAGGCUUUGACGGGUAGCCGGCCUGAGUGGGUGACCGGCCACAUUGGGACUGAGAUACGGCCCAGACUCCUACGGGAGGCAGCAGUGGGGAAUAUUGCACAAUGGGCGGAAGCCUGAUGCAGCAACGCCGCGUGCGGGAUGACGGCCUUCGGGUUGUAAACCGCUUUCGCCUGUGACGAAGCGUGAGUGACGGUAAUGGGUAAAGAAGCACCGGCUAACUACGUGCCAGCAGCCGCGGUGAUACGUAGGGUGCGAGCGUUGUCCGGAUUUAUUGGGCGUAAAGGGCUCGUAGGUGGUUGAUCGCGUCGGAAGUGUAAUCUUGGGGCUUAACCCUGAGCGUGCUUUCGAUACGGGUUGACUUGAGGAAGGUAGGGGAGAAUGGAAUUCCUGGUGGAGCGGUGGAAUGCGCAGAUAUCAGGAGGAACACCAGUGGCGAAGGCGGUUCUCUGGGCCUUUCCUGACGCUGAGGAGCGAAAGCGUGGGGAGCGAACAGGCUUAGAUACCCUGGUAGUCCACGCUGUAAACGGUGGGUACUAGGUGUGGGGUCCAUUCCACGGGUUCCGUGCCGUAGCUAACGCUUUAAGUACCCCGCCUGGGGAGUACGGCCGCAAGGCUAAAACUCAAAGGAAUUGACGGGGCCCCGCACAAGCGGCGGAGCAUGCGGAUUAAUUCGAUGCAACGCGUAGAACCUUACCUGGGUUUGACAUGGAUCGGGAGUGCUCAGAGAUGGGUGUGCCUCUUUUGGGGUCGGUUCACAGGUGGUGCAUGCCUGUCGUCAGCUCGUGUCGUGAGAUGUUGGGUUAAGUCCCGCAACGAGCGCAACCCUUGUUCACUGUUGCCAGCACGUUAUGGUGGGGACUCAGUGGAGACCGCCGGGGUCAACUCGGAGGAAGGUGGGGAUGACGUCAAGUCCUCAUGCCCCUUAUGUCCAGGGCUUCACGCAUGCUACAAUGGCUGGUACAGAGAGUGGCGAGCCUGUGAGGGUGAGCGAAUCUCGGAAAGCCGGUCUCAGUUCGGAUUGGGGUCUGCAACUCGACCUCAUGAAGUCGGAGUCGCUAGUAAUCGCAGAUCAGCAACGCUGCGGUGAAUACGUUCCCGGGGCC